GUGCUCACUUCGGCAGCACAUAUACUGAAACUGGAACAAUCAGAGGAGAUGAGCAUGGCCCCUGCGCAAGGAAGACAUGCAAAUUUGUGGGGUGUUCCACAUUUUU
rnacentral:snRNA from 1 species